CAGCAGCCGCGGUAAUACGGAGGGAGCUAGCGUUGUUCGGAAUUACUGGGCGUAAAGCGCGCGUAGGCGGUUACUCAAGUCAGAGGUGAAAGCCCGGGGCUCAACCCCGGAACUGCCUUUGAAACUAGGUGACUAGAAUCUUGGAGAGGUCAGUGGAAUUCCGAGUGUAGAGGUGAAAUUCGUAGAUAUUCGGAAGAACACCAGUGGCGAAGGCGACUGACUGGACAAGUAUUGACGCUGAGGUGCGAAAGCGUGGGGAGCAAACAGGAUUAGAGACCCCCGUAGUCCCUGUCUCUUAUAC
rnacentral:rRNA from 1 species